UUUCUUUAAUGACCGACUGCAAGUAAGGGAGAUUUGAGAUAUCUGAUUCUUGAACCAGCUCGUUUUUUCCAAUAACUUUCCUGAUCUCGUCCCUAGCUUUUGAUUUUUUUUCAGGGUUGCGUAGUAACUCUGCCAUUGUCCACUCCACGAUGACUGAACUUGUGUCUAUCCCUCCAAGGAAUAAAUCCUAAAACACAGUGGAGUUGGAAUCAAAUUAUAGUCAUCAGGUGAUUUUCUUUUCUUUUUUUUUCCAUUUCAUAAUUUAGGAGUUAUAUAUUAGCACCUGUUAUAUAAAGUACGUAUUGAAUGGAUAGGUACAUUAAUAUUACUCACCAAAAUCAAAUGUUUCAUGUCCUUGUAGCUCCAUACAGAUUCAUUUUGCUGAUUAAGAUCAAGAAGGGUUUCCAAGAAAUCAUUUUUCCUUUGAUAAGUGUUGGAUGUGUAUCUUUCUUGUGAUCUCUGACGAAUGAUACCAUCCAUAAUAU
rnacentral:lncRNA from 1 species